GACGUAGGGCGCAAGCGUUGUCCGGAUUUAUUGGGCGUAAAGAGCUCGUAGGCGGCUUGUUGCGUCGGCUGUGAAAUCCCGUGGCUUAACUGCGGGCUUGCAGCCGAUACGGGCGGGCUGGAGUUCGGUAGGGGAGACUGGAAUUUACGGUGUAGCAGUGAAAUGCGUAGAUAUCGUAAGGAAGACCAGUGGCGAAGGCGGGUCUCUGGACAGUUCCUGACGCUGAGGCACGAAGGCCAGGGGAGCAAACGGG
rnacentral:rRNA from 1 species